GACGAACGCUGGCGGCGUGCUUAACACAUGCAAGUCGAACGAGGAAGAAGAGAAACGCGAACUUCGGUUCAAAUUUCACUUCGGAUUAGUGGCAGACGGGUGAGUAACGCGUGAGCAACCUACCUCUUACAAAGGGAUAGCCUCGGGAAACCGUGAUUAAUACCAUAUGACACAUUCAUAAGGCAUCUUAAGAAUGUUAAAGCUACGGCGGUAAGAGAUGGGCUCGCGUCCCAUUAGCUAGUUGGUGAGGUAACGGCCCACCAAGGCGACGAUGGGUAACCGGUCUGAGAGGGUGAACGGUCACAUUGGAACUGAGACACGGUCCAAACUCCUACGGGAGGCAGCAGUGGGGAAUAUUGCACAAUGGAGGGAACUCUGAUGCAGCGACGCCGCGUGAGCGAUGAAGGAAUUCGUUUCGUAAAGCUCUGUUCUAUGGGAAGAAAAGGACUGUACCAUAGGAGAAAGCCCCGGCUAAAUACGUG
rnacentral:rRNA from 1 species